rfam:Actinophytocola xinjiangensis strain CGMCC 4.4663 contig32, whole genome shotgun sequence.
CUUCACCGAACCGAGCCACAGUGGACGGUCGCGGUGCCGGCCGUAGGCGGCCAGCAGCGCCUCGGCCUC